UACGGGAGGGUGCAAGCGUUAUCCGGAUUUACUGGGUUUAAAGGGUGCGUAGGCGGCCCUGUAAGUCAGUGCUGAAAUAUCCCGGCUUAACCGGGAGGGUGGCAUUGAUACUGCAGGGCUUGAGUAAAGUUGAGGUAGGCGGAAUUGACGGUGUAGCGGUGAAAUGCGUAGAUAUCGUAAGGAAGACCAGUGGCGAAGGCGAGUCUCUGGACA
rnacentral:rRNA from 1 species